rnacentral:rRNA from 1 species
UGGGGAAUUUUGGACAAUGGGGGAAACCCUGAUCCAGCCAUCCCGCGUGUGCGAUGAAGGCCUUCGGGUUGUAAAGCACUUUUGGCAGGAAAGAAACGUCAUGGGUUAAUACCCCGUGAAACUGACGGUACCUGCAGAAUAAGCACCGGCUAACUACGUGCCAGCAGCCGCGGUAAUACGUAGGGUGCAAGCGUUAAUCGGAAUUACUGGGCGUAAAGCGUGCGCAGGCGGUUCGGAAAGAAAGAUGUGAAAUCCCAGAGCUCAACUUUGGAACUGCAUUUUUAACUACCGAGCUAGAGUGUGUCAGAGGGGGGUGGAAUUCCGCGUGUAGCAGUGAAGUGCGUAGAUAUGCGGAGGAACACCGAUGGCGAAGGCAGCCUCCUGGGAUAACACUGACGCUCAUGCACGAAAGCGUGGGGAGCAAACAGG